rnacentral:lncRNA from 1 species
GGAUUCCUUAUCUUCCUCUAGGAAGAGCUGCAUUCAAUGUUUGGAGUACUUUUAUAAGCCAACUUGGAACUCUACCAAGAACUUCCUCGAAGGAUGUCGUGGAUCACUUUCAUACUGAGUGACCAUCCUGAUACUUGUGACUGGAGUAAUGACAUACCCAGACACAAGUGAAUGUAUGGAGGGAUUCGCUCCAUUUGAUUCACUCUGGGGUUUUUGACAAAAUGUCUUCAUCAGAACAACCUACCUCUAUGGAAAUACCUUUUCAAGAUACAAACAAAUGAGGAGUGAUGUGUAAAGAUGGCUGACUUGAAGGACCAUUUAUGAAUGGAAACCAUCUUAUACUUUCAAGAGGAAGAGGCUUGACAUUCAUGGUGCAGUCACUUAUAGAAUGACUGCUUUCCUACUUCUGCAGGGAUGAAAUCAGCAGGACUGCUUGCCAACACCAACAUCGCAAUGUUUCAGAGCCCAAUUUUCCAUAUUUUGAAACGGCUUGCAGCGAUUCCACGGAGCGAGUCAAUCUGCCAUCAACGGGGGCUUUUCUGUUUGUGGCUAAACUUUCUAUUCUGUGGCACCUCAGCUAAAUGGUGAAGGUUUAACUUUUUGAAAAUAAAUAAAAAAUGAUGGUGACUCAUA